GCCGGCUUAGCUCAGCUGGUAGAGCACCUGAUUUGUAAUCAGGAUGUCACAGGUUCGAAUCCUGUAGCCGGCACCA
rnacentral:tRNA from 1 species